GCGGAGGAAAAGAAACCAACAGGGAUUGCCUUAGUAGCGGCGAGUGAAGCGGCAAAAGCUCAAAUUUGAAAUCUGGCGCCUUCGGUGUCCGAGUUGUAAUUUGAAGAUUGUAACCUUGGGGUUGGCUCUUGUCUAUGUUUCUUGGAACAGGACGUCACAGAGGGUGAGAAUCCCGUGCGAUGAGAUGCCCAAUUCUAUGUAAGGUGCUUUCGAAGAGUCGAGUUGUUUGGGAAUGCAGCUCUAAGUGGGUGGUAAAUUCCAUCUAAAGCUAAAUAUUGGCGAGAGACCGAUAGCGAACAAGUACAGUGAUGGAAAGAUGAAAAGAACUUUGAAAAGAGAGUGAAAAAGUACGUGAAAUUGUUGAAAGGGAAGGGUUUGAGAUCAGACUCGAUAUUUUGUGAGCCUUGCCUUCGUGGCGGGGUGACCCGCAGCUUAUCGGGCCAGCAUCGGUUUGGGCGGUAGGAUAAUGGCGUAGGAAUGUGACUUUACUUCGGUGAAGUGUUAUAGCCUGCGUUGAUGCUGCCUGCCUAGACCGAGGACUGCGAUUUAU
rnacentral:rRNA from 1 species